rnacentral:sRNA from 1 species
UGCCGCCCUACACCGUGGUCUAUUUCCCAGUUCGAGGCCGCUGCGCGGCCCUGCGCAUGCUGCUGGCAGACCAGGGCCAGAGCUGGAAGGAGGAGGUGGUGUCCAUGGAGACGUGGCAGGAGGGCUCACUCAAAGCCUCCUGCCUAUACGGGCAGCUCCCCAAGUUCCAGGACGGAGACCUCACCCUGUACCAGUCCAAUACCAUCCUGCGUCACCUGGGCCGCACCCUUGGUGAGUCUUGAACCUCCAAGUCCAGGGCAGGGAUGGGCAAGCCUCUGCCCCCGGAGCCCUUUUAUUUAAAUCAGCUGCCCCGCAGCCCUCUGGAGUGGAGGAAACUGAGACCCACUGAGGUUAUGUAGCUUGCCCAAGGUCAAGCCUGGGUGCCUGCAAUCCUUGCCCUGUGCCAGGCUGCCUCUCAGGUGUCAGGUGAGCUCUGAGCACCUGCUGUGUGGCAGUCUCUCAUCCUUCCACGCACAUCCUCUUCCCCUCCUCCCAGUCUGGGGCUCACAGACAGCCCCCUGGU